GUCUAUGGCCAUACUACCCUGAACGUGCUGUGCUUGAUCUCAUCUGGUCUCAGAAGCUAAGCAAGGUCAGACCUCAUUAGUACUUAGAUUGGAGAAGUUAGCUUUUGACA
rnacentral:rRNA from 1 species